AGGCCAGACUCCUACGGGAGGCAGCAGUGGGGAAUAUUGCACAAUGGGGGAAACCCUGAUGCAGCAACGCCGCGUGAGUGAAGAAGUAUUUCGGUAUGUAAAGCUCUAUCAGCAGGGAAGAAGAUGACGGUACCUGAUUAAGAAGCCCCGGCUAACUACGUGCCAGCAGCCGCGGUAAUACGUAGGGGGCAAGCGUUAUCCGGAUUUACUGGGUGUAAAGGGAGCGCAGACGGCGAUGCAAGCCAGGAGUGAAAGCCCGGGGCCCAACCCCGGGACUGCUCUUGGAACUGCGUGGCUGGAGUGCAGGAGGGGCAGGCGGAAUUCCUGGUGUAGCGGUGAAAUGCGUAGAUAUCAGGAGGAACACCGGUGGCGAAGGCGGCCUGCUGGACUGCAACUGACGUUGAGGCCCGAAAGCGUGGGGAGCAAACAGGAUUAGAUACCCGGGUA
rnacentral:rRNA from 1 species